rnacentral:rRNA from 11 species
GAAGGUCAAACUAAUGGUUGUUGCAAAAACCUUAGGUGAUUUUUGGCUCGGAGUGAAAGAUUAAUCAAACUUGAUAAUAGCUGGUUUUUUGCGAAAAAUAUUUAGGUAUUGCAUAAAUAAAUCUACAUAAUAAGUGGUAGAGCACUGUUUAAAUUAGGGGGAUUAAACUCUUACCGCAUUUAUAUAAACUCCGAAUACUUAUAUUUGUACUUUGUAGUCAGACUUUACGUGAUAAGAUGUAUAAGUCAAAAGGGAAACAGCC